rnacentral:rRNA from 1 species
UACGGGGGGGGCAAGCGUUGUUCGGAAUUACUGGGCGUAAAGCGCGCGUAGGCGGCUUUGCAAGUCGGGUGUGAAAGCCCUCAGCUCAACUGAGGAAGUGCGCCCGAAACUGCAGAGCUUGAGUACCGGAGAGGAUGGCGGAAUUCCCCAAGUAGAGGUGAAAUUCGUAGAUAUGGGGAGGAACACCGGUGGCGAAGGCGGCCAUCUGGACGGAUACUGACGCUGAGACGCGAAAGCGUGGGGAGCAAACAGG